UACAGAGGUCCCAAGCGUUGUUCGGAUUCAUUGGGCGUAAAGGGUGCGUAGGCGGCGCGGUAAGUCGGGUGUGAAAUCUCGGAGCUUAACUCCGAAACUGCAUUCGAUACUGCCGUGCUUGAGGACUGGAGAGGAGACUGGAAUUUACGGUGUAGCGGUGAAAUGCGUAGAUAUCGUAAGGAAGACCAGUGGCGAAGGCGGGUCUCUGGGCCGAUACUGACGCUGAGGAGCGAAAGCGUGGGGAGCAAACAGG
rnacentral:rRNA from 1 species